GGCUUUGCUUUGGUGAAAGCCGAGCGAGAAUCGAACAUCCAUGAGUGGGCGAUUUUUGGUAAGCAGAACUCGCGAUGGGGAAUCAACCAAAAGGCAUGCUUAAGGCGCCGAAAUCUCGGUUAAUGUAGAGAAAAAAGCGUGCGCAUUUGAAGACAGUCAUGACGUGGCCAUGGAAGUUGGAAUCGUCUAAGGAGUGUGUAACAACUCAAUGACCGAAAAUGGGUGCCUUGAAAAUGGAUGGCGCUGAAACCGAGUGCCUAGAGCAGCCGGAUGGACCAGGGGUAGAGGGCCAUCCUGUAGGCUAGCGUGCAGAGUGGGGCGAAGGUGUGCAGCAGUGAUGCUGACUGGACCGCUCUGUAGUGCAGAUCUUGGGGCUAGUAGCAAGUAGAGAAGGGAGGAACUUCUCAACCGAGAGACCAAAGGUUCCUCAGGAAUCGUAAUGAAAUGAGGGUGAGGCGGUCCUAAGGGAGAUCUGAAAAGAGUUU
rnacentral:rRNA from 1 species